UACGUAGGGGGCAAGCGUUGUCCGGAUUUAUUGGGCGUAAAGAGCGUGUAGGCGGUUAGGUAGGUCCGUUGUGAAAACUCGAGGCUCAACCUCGAGACGCCGAUGGAAACCAUCUGACUAGAGUCCGGAAGAGGAGAGUGGAAUUCCUGGUGUAGCGGUGAAAUGCGCAGAUAUCAGGAGGAACACCGAUGGCGAAGGCAGGUCUCUGGGCCACUACUGACGCUGAGAGGCGAAAGCAUGGGGAGCGAACAGG
rnacentral:rRNA from 1 species